GCGGUGGAGCAUGUGGUUUAAUUCGACGCAACGCGAAGAACCUUACCUGGGCUCGAACGGCUUCGGAAAGCCGGUAGAAAUACUGGUCCUCCAGCAAUGGAUCGGAGUCGAGGUGCUGCAUGGCUGUCGUCAGCUCGUGUCGUGAGAUGUUGGGUUAAGUCCCGCAACGAGCGCAACCCUUGUCCUUAGUUGCCAGCAUUCAGUUGGGCACUCUAAGGAGACUGCCGGUGUCAAACCGGAGGAAGGUGGGGAUGACGUCAAGUCCUCAUGGCCCUUAUGUCCAGGGCUACACACGUGCUACAAUGGCCGGUACAAAGGGGCGCAAGACCGCGAGGUGGAGCAAAUCCCAAAAAACCGGUCUCAGUUCGGAUUGGAGUCUGCAACUCGACUCCAUGAAGUUGGAAUCGCUAGUAAUCGCGUAUCAGCAUGACGCGGUGAAUACGUUCCCGGGUCUU
rnacentral:rRNA from 1 species